GAUGAACGCUGGCGGCGUGCCUAAUACAUGCAAGUCGAGCGAACAGACGAGGAGCUUGCUCCUCUGACGUUAGCGGCGGACGGGUGAGUAACACGUGGAUAACCUACCUAUAAGACUGGGAUAACUUCGGGAAACCGGAGCUAAUACCGGAUAAUAUAUUGAACCGCAUGGUUCAAUAGUGAAAGACGGUUUUGCUGUCACUUAUAGAUGGAUCCGCGUCGCAUUAGCUAGUUGGUAAGGUAACGGCUUACCAAGGCGACGAUGCGUAGCCGACCUGAGAGGGUGAUCGGCCACACUGGAACUGAGACACGGUCCAGACUCCUACGGGAGGCAGCAGUAGGGAAUAUUCCGCAAUGGGCGAAAGCCUGGCGGAGCAACGCCGCGUGAGUGAUGAAGGUCUUCGGAUCGUAAAACUCUGUUAUUAGGGAAGAACAAAUGUGUAAGUAACUAUGCACGUCUUGACGGUACCUAAUCAGAAAGCCACGGCUAACUACGUG
rnacentral:rRNA from 1 species